GCAUAGCUCAGUGGUAGAGCAUCUGCUUUGAAUGUAGAAGGUCCCAGGUUCAAUCCCUGGUAUCUCCA